GCGGGUGUGAUGUAGUGGUAGCCUGCUUGCUUCCCAAGCAAGCCGUGCGGGUCCGAUUCCCGCCACCCGCUCCA
rnacentral:tRNA from 1 species